rnacentral:rRNA from 1 species
AGAACGAACGCUGGCGGCAUGCCUAAUACAUGCAAGUCGAACGAAGGCUUCGGCCUUAGUGGCGCACGGGUGCGUAACGCGUGGGAAUCUGCCCCUUGGUUCGGAAUAACAGUUGGAAACGACUGCUAAUACCGGAUGAUGACGAAAGUCCAAAGAUUUAUCGCCAAGGGAUGAGCCCGCGUAGGAUUAGCUAGUUGGUGAGGUAAAGGCUCACCAAGGCGACGAUCCUUAGCUGGUCUGAGAGGAUGAUCAGCCACACUGGGACUGAGACACGGCCCAGACUCCUACGGGGGGCAGCAGUAGGGAAUAUUGGACAAUGGGCGAAAGCCUGAUCCAGCAAUGCCGCGUGAGUGAUGAAGGCCUUAGGUUGUAAAGCUCUUUUACCCGAGAUGAUAAUGACAGUAUCGGAGAAUAAGCCCCGGCUAACUCCGUGCCAGCAGCCGC